UACAGAGGUCUCAAGCGUUGUUCGGAUUCAUUGGGCGUAAAGGGCGCGUAGGCGGCGGGGUAAGUCGGGUGUGAAAUCUCAGAGCUCAACUCUGAAAUGGCACUUGAUACUGCUCUGCUAGAGGACUGGAGAGGAGAUUGGAAUUCACGGUGUAGCAGUGAAAUGCGUAGAUAUCGUGAGGAAGGCCGGUGGCGAAGGCGGAUCUCUGGACAGUUCCUGACGCUGAGGCACGAAGGCCAGGGGAGCAAACGGG
rnacentral:rRNA from 1 species